rnacentral:rRNA from 1 species
AUUGAACGCUGGCGGCAGGCCUAACACAUGCAAGUCGAGCGAGCGGCGGAUAGGUGAGGAAUGUAUGGGGAUCACCCCGAUAGAGGGGGGUAAAUACCGUACACGGUAUCUAAUAACGCAUAUUAUCGGCUGAACCCAUAUGGGAUUAGCUAGUAGGUGGGGGAAAGGCUCCCCAAGGCGACGAUCUCUCGCUGGUCUGCGAGGAGGAUCAGCCACACUGGGACUGAGACACGGCCCAGACUCCUACGGGAGGUAGCAGUGGGGAAUAUUGCACAAUGGGCGCAAGCCUGAUGCAGCCAUGCCGCGUGUAUGAAGAAGGCCUUCGGGUUGUAAAGUACUUUCAGCGGGGAGGCGUUACCCGCAGAAGAAGCACCGGCUAACUCCGUGCCAGCAGCCGCGGUAAUUC